ACCAGGAGUUGUACUCCUUAAGUCAUCAGGGUGCCAACGUUUUCUGUUUAGUGAAACAGACCUCAGAACUUUGAGGCAUUGGAUGGACAGCUUACGUAAUAAAGCACUAAGGCAGUGCAUGGGCAUUUGCAGAGGUGUGUGUGUGUGUGUGUGUGUGUGUGUGUGUGUGUGUGAGUAUUAUGUGUGUGUGCACACGUACGGGCACUGUAUGUUGUGGGUACAUAUGUCUGAGGAGGAUGCCAGGUGUCCUGCUCUAUUGUGCUUUACCUCAUUCCCUUGAGAGGGUCUCUUACUGAAGCUGGGGCUAGGCUGGUAGCCUGCAAGCCCCAGAGAUCUGUCCCCAUGCUCUGUAAAGGUAACUUUAUUUGUCUGAAGUAAAUGUGGUUUUGAAGGCCUACUGCUGAAUCAGCUCAACCUUUCUAGGUCUUUCUGAACUCUGGCUGGCUGGUUAAAGUAAACUGUUCUGGCUCAAACUCCUCUCCAAGGUCACUGAUUCAAACUCGCUUCUCUCAGCUUCUGACUGAAUUGCUCGGCUUGGCCUCACAUUAACUCUGGCAAUCAGUUUUAAUCUUCUGGCUCCUUCUCCUUCUCUGGCUCCUUCUGUCUUCACCACCUGUCUCUGUAAAACUCCAGGUAAAAACUGCCUCUGAACUCCCUGAACUGAGUUGCCACCAACUCGGCUCCCCGCAUUGCCUUUCAGCUCCCCUGUACUGAACUCAGUGACUCUCUAACUGUGCUGUUCUUACAAGAGUUGGGCAUAUCCUAUCUCUGACUCAUUCUGUCAAAUCUUUCUCUGAUUCAUAACUUUGCCCCUCAAUUAGAUAUCGCCUUCAGACAUCCCGUCUUCUACCAAUUAAUCUCAUCAUAUUUGGGAUUAAAGGUGUGUACUAAGGGCUUGUCUGUGUUCCAGUCAGAGGGAUUAAAGGUAUAUAAGGCUGAGCCAUACCACAAGUAGAAACAGGUUUUUCCAGUAAACACAAUCUUGGGGUUCACAGUGUGAUCAGAUACCUGCAGCAGGUUUUCUCCUGCUAUCAUGUGGGUCUUGGGAAUCUAACUCAGGUUGUUGAGUUUGGAAGCAGCUGCUUUUUACUAACCGAGCCAUCUUGCUGCCCCUAAGUUGAAAGUUUUUAAAUAGAACAUCUCUGGACAUCUGAGAUUUGAAGGAAGAGUCAUGUAUACAAACGUCCAUCCCAUACAGCCAUACAUACCACCUCUGCAACAAUUUUUAAGAUAUUUUAGAAUGCGAUAGAAAAGAGCAUCAAUGUAGUAAUGUGUAUAUAGAUGAGCUUGUUUGCAAGAUGGUAAUGAAGGUAUAUUUUUAGACAUUCAAAUGAAUUUUCCAUUUGAUAACUUGUAGGUUUGCAGUACAGUUUACAUGCAAGUUAAUUUUUGCAAUUCUUACUGUUUUUGACUUCCUUACCAUAACAAGGGCAGUUGAGCAUUUGUUUUGCAAGUUGUCCUCAUCACCAGCACUUGUCUAAGCAGCUGUGCAGGGGUUGCCCCUUUCCUCCUUCAGUGCCUUAGAGUCUGAGCUGGUCACGUCAUCGUUGGUACCAUGCCAAAUCCCGAAUAGUUACCUUCUAAUUAAGGUAGUUACUUGUCAUCUGUAUAUGCUGUCAGUUGACUUCCCUAAGUACACCAGUACCUGACUCCUUGUUUUAUUAAGUUUAAAUUAAAAAUGUUCUUAAUU
rnacentral:lncRNA from 1 species